GCGGGAUGCUUAACACAUGCAAGUCGAGCGGCAGCACGGACUUCGGUCUGGUGGCGAGUGGCGAACGGGUGAGUAAUGUAUCGGAACGUGCCUGGUAGCGGGGGAUAACUACCCGAAAGCGUAGCUAAUACCGCAUACGCCCUUCGGGGGAAAGCAGGGGAUCGUAAGACCUUGCACUAUUAGAGCGGCCGAUAUCGGAUUAGCUAGUUGGUGGGGUAACGGCUCACCAAGGCGACGAUCCGUAGCUGGUUUGAGAGGACGACCAGCCACACUGGGACUGAGACACGGCCCAGACUCCUACGGGAGGCAGCAGUGGGGAAUUUUGGACAAUGGGGGAAACCCUGAUCCAGCCAUCCCGCGUGUGCGAUGAAGGCCUUCGGGUUGUAAAGCACUUUUGGCAGGAAAGAAACGUCCCGGGAUAAUACCCCGGGAAACUGACGGUACCUGCAGAAUAAGCACCGGCUAACUACGUGCCAGCAGCCGCGGUAAUACGUAGGGUGCAAGCGUUAAUCGGAAUUACUGGGCGUAAAGCGUGCGCAGGCGGUUCGGAAAGAAAGAUGUGAAAUCCCAGAGCUUAACUUUGGAACUGCAUU
rnacentral:rRNA from 1 species